UACGUAGGAGGCGAGCGUUGUCCGGAAUCACUGGGCGUAAAGCGCGCGUAGGCGGUUACUUAAGUUGGAUGUGAAAGCCCUCGGCUUAACCGAGGAAGUGCAUCCAAAACUGAGUAGCUAGAGUACGAAAGAGGGUCGCGGAAUUCCCGGUGUAGAGGUGAAAUUCGUAGAUAUCGGGAGGAACACCGGUGGCGAAGGCGGCGACCUGGGUCGAGACUGACGCUGAGGCGCGAAAGCGUGGGGAGCAAACAGG
rnacentral:rRNA from 1 species